rnacentral:rRNA from 1 species
GAGUUUGAUCAUGGCUCAGAUUGAACGCUGGCGGCAGGCCUAACACAUGCAAGUCGAACGGUAACAGGAAACAGCUUGCUGUUUCGCUGACGAGUGGCGGACGGGUGCGUAAUGUCUGGGAAGCUGCCUGAUGGAGGGGGAUAACUACUGGAAACGGUAGCUAAUACCGCAUAACGUCGCAAGACCAAAGAGGGGGACCUUCGGGCCUCUUGCCAUCGGAUGUGCCCAGAUGGGAUUAGCUAGUAGGUGGGGUAACGGCUCACCUAGGCGACGAUCCCUAGCUGGUCUGAGAGGAUGACCAGCCACACUGGAACUGAGACACGGUCCAGACUCCUACGGGAGGCAGCAGUGGGGAAUAUUGCACAAUGGGCGCAAGCCUGAUGCAGCCAUGCCGCGUGUAUGAAGAAGGCCUUCGGGUUGUAAAGUACUUUCAGCGGGGAGGAAGGGAGUAAAGUUAAUACCUUUGCUCAUUGACGUUACCCGCAGAAGAAGCACCGGCUAACUCCGUGCCAGCAGCCGCGGUAAUACGGAGGGUGCAAGCGUUAAUCGGAAUUACUGGGCGUAAAGCGCACGCAGGCGGUUUGUUAAGUCAGAUGUGAAAUCCCCGGGCUCAACCUGGGAACUGCAUCUGAUACUGGCAAGCUUGAGUCUCGUAGAGGGGGGUAGAAUUCCAGGUGUAGCGGUGAAAUGCGUAGAGAUCUGGAGGAAUACCGGUGGCGAAGGCGGCCCCCUGGACGAAGACUGACGCUCAGGUGCGAAAGCGUGGGGAGCAAACAGGAUUAGAUACCCUGGUAGUCCACGCCGUAAACGAUGUCGACUUGGAGGUUGUGCCCUUGAGGCGUGGCUUCCGGAGCUAACGCGUUAAGUCGACCGCCUGGGGAGUACGGCCGCAAGGUUAAAACUCAAAUGAAUUGACGGGGGCCCGCACAAGCGGUGGAGCAUGUGGUUUAAUUCGAUGCAACGCGAAGAACCUUACCUGGUCUUGACAUCCACAGAACUUUCCAGAGAUGGAUUGGUGCCUUCGGGAACUGUGAGACAGGUGCUGCAUGGCUGUCGUCAGCUCGUGUUGUGAAAUGUUGGGUUAAGUCCCGCAACGAGCGCAACCCUUAUCCUUUGUUGCCAGCGGUCCGGCCGGGAACUCAAAGGAGACUGCCAGUGAUAAACUGGAGGAAGGUGGGGAUGACGUCAAGUCAUCAUGGCCCUUACGACCAGGGCUACACACGUGCUACAAUGGCGCAUACAAAGAGAAGCGACCUCGCGAGAGCAAGCGGACCUCAUAAAGUGCGUCGUAGUCCGGAUUGGAGUCUGCAACUCGACUCCAUGAAGUCGGAAUCGCUAGUAAUCGUGGAUCAGAAUGCCACGGUGAAUACGUUCCCGGGCCUUGUACACACCGCCCGUCACACCAUGGGAGUGGGUUGCAAAAGAAGUAGGUAGCUUAACCUUCGGGAGGGCGCUUACCACUUUGUGAUUCAUGACUGGGGUGAAGUCGUAACAAGGUAACCGUAGGGGAACCUGCGGUUGGAUCACC